UCAAGUAAAGGAAGAGCACAAGGCGGAUGCCUUGGCAGCAUAAGGCGAUGAAGGACGUAAUAACCUGCGAUAAGCCUCGGGGAGCUGGUAAAUAAGCUUCGAUCCGAGGAUUUCCGAAUGGGAAAACCCAAUACACAUAAGUGUAUUAUCUUAUACUGAAUACAUAGGUAUAAGAGGCAAACCUAGGGAACUGAAACAUCUAAGUACCUAGAGGAAAAGAAAUCAACAGAGAUUCCGGUAGUAGCGGCGAGCGAAACCGGACCAGCCCUUAAGCUUAUUUUAGUCCAGCAAAAUAUUCUGGAAAGUUUAGCCAUAGUAGGUGAUAGCCCUGUAUGCGAAAGACUAAUUUAAGUGAAAUCGAGUAGGUCGGGACACGAGAAAUCUUGACUGAACAUGGGGGGACCAUCCUCCAAGGCUAAAUACUCUAUGCUGACCGAUAGUGAACCAGUACCGUGAGGGAAAGGCGAAAAGAACCCCGGCGAGGGGAGUGAAAUAGAACCUGAAACCUUGUGCUUACAAGCAGUCGGAGCAGACUUGUUCUGUGACGGCGUACCUUUUGUAUAAUGGGUCAACGACUUAAUUUCAGUAGCAAGCUUAACCAUUUAGGGUAGGCGUAGGGAAACCGAGUCUUAAUAGGGCGCUCAGUUGCUGGAAUUAGACCCGAAACCGGGUGAUCUAUCCAUGGCCAGUGUGAAGGUCGAGUAACAUCGACUGGAGGCGCGAACCCACUUAUGUUGAAAAAUGAGGGGAUGAGCUGUGGAUAGGAGUGAAAGGCUAAUCAAACCCGGAGAUAGCUGGUUCUCUUCGAAAACUAUUUAGGUAGUGCCUCGUGUAUUACUGUAGGGGGUAGAGCACUGUUUCGGCUAGGGGGUCAUCCCGACUUACCAAACCGAUGCAAACUCCGAAUACCUACAAGUAUGAGCACGGGAGACAGACUGCGGGUGCUAACGUCCGUAGUCGAGAGGGAAACAACCCAGACUGUCAGCUAAGGUCCCAAAUUAUGAUUAAGUGGGAAACAAUGUGGGAAGGCACAAACAGCUAGGAGGUUGGCUUAGAAGCAGCCAUCCUUUAAAGAAAGCGUAAUAGCUCACUAGUCGAGUCGGCCUGCGUGGAAGAUAUAACGGGGCUAAAUCAUAAACCGAAGCUACGGAUCUUAAAUUUAUUUAAGAUGGUAGAAGAGCGUUCUGUAAGCGGUUGAAGGUGUGCUGUAAGGCAUGCUGGACGUAUCAGAAGUGCGAAUGUUGACAUGAGUAACGAUCAAAGAGGUGAAAAACCUCUUCGCCGAAAAUCCAAGGUUUCCUGUCCAACGCUAAUCGUGGCAGGGUGAGUCGGCUCCUAAGGCGAGGGCGAAAGCCGUAGUCGAUGGAAAACAGGUUAAUAUUCCUGUACUUCUUAUAAUUGCGAUGGGGUGACGGAGAAGGUUAGGCUAGCACGGCGACGGUUGUCCGUGUUCAAGGUUGUAGACUGAGAUUCUAGGUAAAUCCGGAAUCUCUUAAGGUCAAGAACUGAUAACGACCACUCUUUGAGUGGGAAGUAGUCGAUACCAUGCUUCCAGGAAAAACCUCUAAGCUUCAGAUUAUAAGAAACCGUACCCCAAACCGACACAGGUGGAUAAGUCGAGAAGACUAAGGUGUUUGAGAGAACUAUGGUGAAGGAACUAGGCAAAAUGGUACCGUAACUUCGGGAGAAGGUACGCCACCAUUGGUGAUGAGACUUGCUCUUUAAGCUGAUGGUGGUCGAAGAAACUAGGUGGCUGCGACUGUUUAUUAAAAACAUAGCACUCUGCAAAAUCGUAAGAUGACGUAUAGGGUGUGACGCCUGCCCGGUGCCGGAAGGUUAAUUGAUGGGGUUAGCUUCGGCGAAGCUCCUGAUCGAAGCCCCGGUAAACGGCGGCCGUAACUAUAACGGUCCUAAGGUAGCGAAAUUCCUUGUCGGGUAAGUUCCG
rnacentral:rRNA from 1 species